rnacentral:rRNA from 1 species
GACAGAGGGUGCAAACGUUGUUCGGAAUUACUGGGCGUAAAGCGUGUGUAGGCGGCUACGUAAGUCGGAUGUGAAAGCCCCAGGCUCAACCUGGGAAGUGCACUCGAUACUGCGUAGCUUGAGUAUCGGAGAGGUUGGUGGAAUUCUCGGUGUAGAGGUGAAAUUCGUAGAUAUCGAGAGGAACACCGGUGGCGAAGGCGGCCGCCUGGACCUGACCUGACGCUGAGGCGCGAAGGCGCGGGGAGCGAACGGG